rnacentral:rRNA from 1 species
GACGAACGCUGGCGGCGUGCUUAACACAUGCAAGUCGAACGGUGAUGCUCCAGCUUGCUGGAGUGGAUCAGUGGCGAACGGGUGAGUAACACGUGAGCAACCUGCCCCAGACUCUGGAAUAAGCGCUGGAAACGGCGUCUAAUACUGGAUACGAAACUGGCCCGCAUGGGCAUGGUUUGGAAAGUUUUUCGGUUUGGGAUGGGCUCGCGGUCUAUCAGCUUGUUGGUGAGGUAAUGGCUCACCAAGGCGACGACGGGUAGCCGGCCUGAGAGGGCGACCGGCCACACUGGGACUGAGACACGGCCCAGACUCCUACGGGAGGCAGCAGUGGGGAAUAUUGCACAAUGGGCGAAAGCCUGAUGCAGCGACGCCGCGUGAGGGAUGACGGCCUUCGGGUUGUAAACCUCUUUCAGCAGGGAAGAAGCGAAAGUGACGGUACCUGCAGAAGAAGCACCGGCUAACUACGUG